rnacentral:rRNA from 1 species
UACAGGUGGUCAGGUAGAGAAUACUAAGGCGAUCGAGAGAACUGUGGUUAAGGAACUCGGCAAAAUGCCCCCGUAACUUCGGGAGAAGGGGGACCAGUCCUGGUGACGACAUUUACUGUCUGAGCUGGGGUUGGUCGCAGAGACCAGAGAGAAGCGACUGUUUACUAAAAACACAGGUCCGUGCGAAGUCGUAAGACGAUGUAUACGGACUGACGCCUGCCCGGUGCUGGAAGGUUAAGAGGACCGGUCAGCCACUUCGGUGGCGAAGCUGAGAAUUUAAGCCCCAGUAAACGGCGGUGGUAACUAUAACCAUCCUAAGGUAGCGAAAUUCCUUGUCGGGUAAGUUCCGACCUGCACGAAUGGCGUAACGACUUCUCUGCUGUCUCAACCACAGACUCGGCGAAAUUGCAGUACGAGUAAAGAUGCUUGUUACGCGCGGCAGGACGAGAAGACCCCGGGACCUUCACUAUAGCUUGGUAUUGGUGUUCGGUUCGGUUUGUGUAGGAUAGGUGGGAGACUGUGAAACUCGCACGCCAGUGUGGGUGGAGUCAUUUGAAAUACCACUCUGACCGUAUUGGACAUCUAACCUCGGACCAUGAUCUGGUUCAGGGACAGUGCCUGGUGGGUAGUUUAACUGGGGCGGUUGCCUCCUAAAAAGUAACGGAGGCGCCCAAAGGUUCCCUCAGCCUGGUUGGCAAUCAGGUGUUGAGUGUAAGUGCACAAGGGAGCUUGACUGUGAGACGUACAUGUCGAGCAGGGACGAAAGUCGGGACUAGUGAUCCGGCACCGGCAAGUGGAAGCGGUGUCGCUCAACGGAUAAAAGGUACCCCGGGGAUAACAGGCUGAUCUUCCCCAAGAGUCCAUAUCGACGGGAUGGUUUGGCACCUCGAUGUCGGCUCGUCGCAUCCUGGGGCUGGAGUAGGUCCCAAGGGUUGGGCUGUUCGCCCAUUAAAGCGGCACGCGAGCUGGGUUUAGAACGUCGUGAGACAGUUCGGUCUCUAUCCGCCGCGCGCGUAAGAAACUUGAGGAAACCUGUCCCUAGUACGAGAGGACCGGGACGGACGAACCUCUGGUGUGCCAGUUGUUCCACCAGGAGCACCGCUGGUUAGCUACGUUCGGAAGGGAUAACCGCUGAAAGCAUCUAAGCGGGAAGCCUGUUCCAAGAUGAGGUUUCUCACCACCUAGCGUGGUUAAGGCCCCCCAGAGACCAUGGGGUUGAUAGGCCAGAACUGUAAGCACAGCAAUGUGUUCAGGUGACUGGUACUAAUCGGCCGAGGACUUACAG